AACUUUGUGUUCUCUAAACUGCAUUCCUUCCAUCAAAAGAGUCUACAUGGACCUAGAAAAGGGACCUGAAAUAGCCAAAGCCAAAAUUCCAAUCAUAUAAAGGGCCAAUAAAAGCAUACAACUAUCAAUAGUUUGUCCAGAAUUUCCACAGUCUACUCUUGCUUCAAUGUUGAAAUGACAACAGGAAGUUUCAAACUAUUGAAGAGAGACAUGAUAGUAAAGAACUUAUCCUCACAAUGUUGAAAACCAAAAUCAUCUUUGCUCUGGGUCAUUCUUACACAGGGAUUAUCCAUAGAAUAUGAACCUUGUAUAGUUCUGCUCGAGCAUUUCAAUUGUCAUUCAAACUCGUAAAAGAUUGCUAAGUAACAAUUGCAUAUUAAGUGAGGGUUCAUCCUUACAAGGUGCAUCAUUACAAUCAACAGAAACUCCAAACAGAUGGACUCCUAUUCUGUCAAGAUUAAAGGUGAAAACUGCAAGAUGAAUCAGCUAUGAUGAAAUUGGCUGUUUGUAUUUUUUUCGAACACUCUUUUGAGCUGGUCGAUGAAAUUUUCAUAAACAAUUGAAACCACAUUGAUUUUAUAUUCUCAAAGCAAGAAGUAUUUAAAUGAUUCAAAAUCAAUUUACUUCUCCAAAUUAUUAUCUCUCCAUCAAUGUCCUAUAAUUCAUACAAAAAGCCUAGCAGCCAGAAUCUAGUUCUACUGUAAUCAAGCCCCAAUCACAAGGCAGAUGAGGAACAGACGCAUUCCUAGAGGCAAGUAUGUCAAGCAUCUAAUGGUAAAAUUAAAAAAAUCAUAUAAAUUGUCAUCUCUUUGUCUGUAACUAUGUUUUCAUAGGUGACCAGGUCAUUGUGGGACUUAAAAAUGAAACAAUAUGAUUAACUUUUUAUAGAGUAUACAGGCACAUCAAUAAGAAAGCAAACGUAAAAACUAUCAGAAGGUAGGUACCAAAAGGGUGGUACCAAGCAAGUUUGGAGGGUCUGGUCCAAAAAUAAUAUUGCUGAUAAGAAGAUAUUCAUGUAAUGUUAAAACGUGUUCAUAAGUGGUGCCUUGGUCUACACACGAAUUACUGUUCAUCAGUGCAUCAAUCUUCCUCAUGGGUGAAUAUGAUUUUAUAGGACUACGGACAUACAUUACUCUGUGUAAGUGAUCAAGUGGGCAUCCAACUCACACAAUAAUGAGGUCUUAUUUCAAAGACAUUCCUCUACACCUGCAUAAUUGAUUUCAAACAGAUCAGCUUAAAAUGGAGGGCGACAGAAACUGAUCUACUAUCGCUUAUAUUUGUACAAUAAAUAUAAUCUUCCAAACACACUAGGGUGACUGUCCAUGUAUAAUGAUGAAUCCUCCAGCAUUAGCUUGUAAUUUAGAAAGCAAAUACUUCUAGGCUAUGGCUGACAGCAAAUCAUAUAUGAAUCAAAGAUUGUUAUAUCCAUAUUAAAUGGAUGUGAAUAAAUAAAUAAAAAAAGUGCUAAUCAGACUACUAAAAGAUACAUAUAUAAUGUUCUAAACAAAUACAGAUACAAAAUGAAUAUGACUAAUGUCGAUAUUUGUUUAAAAACAUGUACAGAUAUAAAUUAGACAAGGAAUACCUAUAUUUCUUUAAACAUAACAGAUACAAAUCAAAUAAUUGAGUAUAUCAAUGAGUUAGAUAAAUCAAAUAUGGUCAGAUAAAUCAAUAACAUAUAUUAAAAAGCCAGUCUUCAAAUAGCAAAUCCAGAAUCAAUAAUAUAACUCAUACUGAAAUUUUAAUAUAUCAUCAAGAUUAAAGUAUCAUCUUUGUGCAAAGUUGAUGGUUGCUAAACAUCUCAAAAUCUGGCUAUCCAUAUUUAAAUAAUACUUCAAUACCCAUAUACAUAUCAAAACCUAAAAAAGGAACUUUAUCAAAUUAUCCAUGUCUUUAUCUGUAUUUCAGAUAAUGAUACAUGCAUAUACAAUUUUGGGUGAGGAAAAGCAUACAGUUGAACAAUAUCGACCUAUUUUCAGCCCUGAUCUUAAAUAAUCCAACUAGACAGAUGCUUUCACCAACAACGCAGGGCACAUACACAACUACCCGAUAGGUUUCUUCUCCAUUGAAAUUUAUCACUACUAGAUCUAAGCUGAUAUCUUGAAUAGAAUGUUUCAUCACUUAUCACAACAGUUACACCACAUCAGGUUCCUCAUUUGGCCUUGUUGCCACUAUAAAAUUAGAUUUCGAUGAAGUCCAAGUACUAUUUCAAGAAGUUACUCAAUGUACAUGUUAGAUAAUACAUUUUUAGAAAAAGGAAAAUAGAACUACAAUGAAAAUGGAAGCAAAGUGGUGUCUGAAGAAAAGAAAUUUCAAUGCAGAAAUGACCGUUUUUGCCCCUUUUCUAUACUAAAAGAAUAUAGAAUAGCUGGUCAAUCAAUAUCCUAUGUAGUCAACAGCUUCCUAUAGCAUCAAGCUUCCAAAUGAUUUUGAAUGAUUCCAGCUUUUAUGUUGCGUUCAUGUCCUACACAAACAAUCUUGAAAAGCAUUAUGUGAAAAGCUUCAUGAACAAUGAAGAAAUCAAAGGAAACGAAGAUCCUCUAAAAGAAACUGAGAAGUAGAAAUAGUUUCAAGACUCAUUAAUUCUUGGUCACAACGUCUAGGGUAACAAGAUUGGGCAUUUAGGAUCAGAGGCACUUAAGCUUCCAGCUGAUGCUAGAAUUCCAUUGGGAAUUGGUUUGGAGUAAGCUCAUGAUUGGCAGAGCGAACCAACCAAGGUAAUGCAUAUUAUAAUCCACGUAGUAUUAUAAAAGAUGCAGAGAUUGAAUAAGAUGCUUCAGUGAACUUAGACAUUUUGGACUUAAAGACAGAAGAUGACUUUAGAGAUUUUCUAAAUCAUUCUUAUAAAUUUUGUGAACCCUAUUCUACCAAGUUCAGACUAAUAUGUUUUCUGAAUUCUUCACCUUACUUGAAAAUUUUCUUUUCACCCUUAUUUGAAAAUUUCAAGCCACGCUGGGUUUCUCCCUGCACCAAACAGGCAUCAUCAGAGCAUCACAAGAUAACUUUUCACCCUCCCAAAAAAAAAAAAAAAAAAAUACGCAACUAUGCAACACCUGUAUCCAACCAACUACCCCAACCUGACCAAAGAACAUCAAGCAACACCUUCCAUGGACCAAUGUCCGCUAACAAUACUGACCCUCGAAAAUCCUAACAAAACUAACAUUUAAACUUUCUUUUCUUCAAACAAAAAAAAACUUUCUUUUAACACUAGAGAUCAAACCACAUAGGAGGCAACUUGAUCAACUUUUCAGCCUGCAAAAUUGAAGAUCACUGCCCAUCGAAGAGAACCGUAAAAAGAUAGCAACAGGCCCUAACUACAGAAAAAAGGUUGCACCUUUUCAUCAUUAAAGAUAAGAAGGACGCCAAGAAAGCCAACAAUUCCCUCACUCAUAAUUUUCUAAAAAUUAAAUUACCAAACAAAAGAAAACAUAAUCACCAGAUGAAACCCAAAUACGAGAAUUGUGAUGCAUUAUAUCCAAUCUAACAAGCAGAGACCGAAGAAGAACAAUUGACACAUUAACAGCCAAUAAUCUUGAAAUAUAAAGCUCCACCGAACAAGAGAGAAGGGGAAAAAGAAACAAAAAUAUCUCACAAACAUAACAAGUAAGAACAGCAAAUUCACGGAAUAACGUCAAACCAAAUAAUCAACCCCCAGAAUCCUUUCAUGGAAAAUCAAAAGGAACAAGAAGAACAAAAAGAAAAUCCCAAUUCAUAAGCCAUGACACGAUCAAGAAGGGAAGGUAUCGUAC
rnacentral:lncRNA from 1 species